AAACUAAUCUCUACACUGCUGC
rnacentral:miRNA from 1 species